rnacentral:rRNA from 1 species
GGUGUGGGUAGGGGAGAAAUUCCAAUCGAACCCGGAGAUAGCUGGUUCUCCUCGAAAUAGCUUUAGGGCUAGCCUCGAUGGAGUCUUACGGAGGUAGAGCACUGAAUUUCUAAGGGGGCGUCAAAGCUUACCAAGGGAUAUCAAACUCCGAAUGCCGUAAAGAUGCUCAUCGGGAGUCAGACUGCACGAGAUAAGUUGGGCAGUCAAAAGGGAAAGAGCCCAGACCUGCUGCUAAGGUCCCAAAGUACGUGUUAAGUGGAAAAGGAUGUGGGAUUUCGAAGACAACUAGGAUGUUGGCUCAGAAGCAGCCACACAUUCAAAGAGUGCGUAAUAGCUCACUAGUCGAGAGGUCCUGCGCCGAAAAUGUCCGGGGCUGAAACACGACACCGAAGCACAGGAUACCGCAAGGUAUGGUAGAGGAGCAUUGCUGGCGCGACGAAGCAGUACCGGAAGGAGCUGUGGAGUGCCAGGAAGAGAGAAUGCCGGAAUGAGUAGCGAGAGAGAGGUGGGAAUCCUCUCGGCCGAAUAUCCAAGGUUUCCAGGGUAAAGCUGAUCUGCCCUGGGUAAGUCGGGGCCUAAGGAGAGGCAGAAAUGCGUAUCCGAUGGACAGCAGGUUGAGAUUCCUGCACUAUCUUAAAACAGAACUGUGGGGACAUUUGUGGAGAGCACAGGCGCGGAACGGAAAGCCGCGUGCAAGCGAAGGAGGAGUCACAUAGGAAAAACCGUGUGGCAAUCCAAAGGCGUGAUGCGGACCGAACUAAAGUAGGGAAGUGUGUGAGCCAUGAAUCAAGAAAAGCCGCUAUUGUUUUUAAGAUACCCGUACCGUAAACCGACACAGGUGGAUGAGGAGAGAAUCCUAAGGCCGGCGGAAGAAGCAUUGUUAAGGAACUCGGCAAAAUGACCCCGUAACUUCGGGAGAAGGGGUGCCAACGAGAGUUGGCCGCAGAGAAUAGGCUCAAGCAACUGUUUAGCAAAAACACAGGUCUAUGCAAAACCGUAAGGUGAGGUAUAUGGGCUGACGCCUGCCCGGUGCUGGAAGGUUAAGAGGAGAGGUUAGCGCAAGCGAAGCUUUGAAUUUAAGCCCCAGUAAACGGCGGCCGUAACUAUAACGGUCCUAAGGUAGCGAAAUUCCUUGUCGGGUAAGUUCCGACCCGCACGAAAGGCGUAAUGAUUUGAGCGCUGUCUCGACAAUGCAUCCGGUGAAAUUGAAGUACCAGUGAAGAUGCUGGUUACCCGCGCCAGGACGGAAAGACCCCAUGGAGCUUUACUCCAGUUUGGUACUGGGAUUCGGUACUGCACGUACAGGAUAGGUGGGAGACUUUGAAACUUGAACGCCAGUUUGAGUGGAGUCGCUGUUGGGAUACCACCCCUGCAGUAUUGGAUUUCUAACCAGUCACCGUGAUCCGGUGAUGGGACAAUGCCAGGCGGGGAGUUUGACUGGGGCGGUCGCCUCCGAAAGGGUAUCGGAGGCGCUCAAAGGUUCCCUCAGAAUGGUCGGAAACCAUUCGAAGAGUGCAAAGGCAGAAGGGAGCUUGACUGCGACACCGACGGGUGGAGCAGGUACGAAAGUAGGACUUAGUGAUCCGGUGGUAUGAAAGUGGGAUUGCCAUCGCUCAACGGAUAAAAGCUACCCUGGGGAUAACAGGCUUAUCACUCCCAAGAGUUCACAUCGACGGAGUGGUUUGGCACCUCGAUGUCGGCUCAUCGCAUCCUGGGGCUGUAGUAGGUCCCAAGGGUUGGGCUGUUCGCCCAUUAAAGCGGUACGCGAGCUGGGUUCAGAACGUCGUGAGACAGUUCGGUCCCUAUCCGGCGUGGGCGUAGGAUAUUUGAGAGGAGCUGUCCUUAGUACGAGAGGACCGGGAUGGACUGACCUCUGGUGUACCGGUUGAACCGCCAGGUUCACGGCCGGGUAGCCAAGUCGGGAAGGGAUAAACGCUGAAGGCAUCUAAGCGUGAAGCCCCCCUCAAGAUGAGAUAUCCCAUUCGAAAGAAGUAAGACCCCUUGAAGACGACGAGGUAGAUAGGGCAGGGGUGGAAGUGCCGUAAGGCAUGGAGCUGACUGUUACUAAUCGGUCGAGGGCUUGACCUG